GCCUUCGUGGUGUAAUGGUCUGCAAGCUCGACGCGUAACCGAGAGGUCCGUGGUUCGAUUCCCGGUGAAGGCG
rnacentral:tRNA from 1 species